GCUCCUGUGGUGCAAUGGGUCUGUGCGUCUGGCUGUUAACCAGAAGGAUGGUGGUUCGAGCCCACUCAGGGGCU